rnacentral:tRNA from 2 species
GCCCUCGUAGCUCAGGGGAUAGAGCACGUCUCUCCUAAAGACGGUGUCGCAGGUUCGAAUCCUGCCGAGGGCACCA